AGAACGAACGCUGGCGGCGUGGAUAAGACAUGCAAGUCGAACGGGACAAUUGAUUAGCAAUAGUUGGUUGUUCAGUGGCGAACGGGUGCGUAACACGUGGGAAUCUGCCGAGGAGUGGGGGGAUAGCUCGCCGAAAGGCGAAUUAAUACCGCAUUAAAAGAGGGGGACCGCAAGGCCUCUCGCUUCUCGAUGAGCCCGCGGCCUAUCAGCUUGUUGGUGAGGUAACGGCUCACCAAGGCUAUGACGGGUAGCUGGUCUGAGAGGACGACCAGCCACACUGGGACUGAGACACGGCCCAGACACCUACGGGUGGCAGCAGUCGAGAAUUUUCACAAUGGGGGAAACCCUGAUGGAGCGACGCCGCGUGGAGGAUGAAGGCCUUCGGGUCGUAAACUCCUGUCAUCAUAGAACAAGAUAUACGUAAUAACCGAUGUAAUUGAUGUAUAUGGAGAGGAAGGACGGCUAACUCUGUGCCAGCAGCCGACGGUAAUCUAGA
rnacentral:rRNA from 1 species